rnacentral:rRNA from 1 species
UACGGGGGGGGGCAAGCGUUGUUCGGAAUUACUGGGCGUAAAGGCUCGUAGGCGGCCAACUAAGUCAGACGUGAAAUCCCUCGGCUUAACCGGGGAACUGCAUCUGAUACUGGAUGGCUUGAGUUCGGGAGAGGGAUGCGGAAUUCCAGGUGUAGCGGUGAAAUGCGUAGAUAUCUGGAGGAACACCGGUGGCGAAGGCGGCAUCCCUGGACCGACACUGACGCUGAGGAGCGAAAGCCAGGGGAGCAAAGCGGG